rnacentral:other from 1 species
UAACGUCUGAGAUGUUGGUUGUCAUUGUGAAUUCAACCACUGUAUUUUGUUAGGGAGAACGUGUUCUGCUGCGUAUGGCAAGCUUCUACAGGGAGAAGUCAGAAAGAGCAGAUAGUCCACCCACCUGUUGAGGUGUGGUGUGAUAUUUGGGUGACGACGGCAUCUUGGGCAAAUA